UACGUAGGAUCCAAGCGUUGUCCGGAUUUACUGGGUGUAAAGGGUGCGCAGGCGGACCAAUAAGUCAGGAGUGAAAUCUCGGCGCUCAACGCCGAAACGUCUUUUGAUACUGUUGGUCUUGAAUAAGCGAGAGAUUCGUGGAAUUCCGAGUGUAGCAGUGAAAUGUGUAGAUAUUCGGAAGAACACCAGAGGCGAAGGCAGCGAAUUGGCGCUUUAUUGACGCUCAGGCACGAAAGCAUGGGGAUCAAACAGG
rnacentral:rRNA from 2 species